UACGGGGGGGGCAAGCGUUGUUCGGAAUUACUGGGCGUAAAGGGCUCGUAGGCGGCCAACUAAGUCGGAUGUGAAAUCCCCAGGCUUAACCUGGGAACUGCAUCCGAUACUGGAUGGCUUGAAUCCGGGAGAGGGAUGCAGAAUUCCAGGUGUAGCGGUGAAAUGCGUAGAUAUCUGGAGGAAUACCGGUGGCGAAGGCGGCAUCCUGGACCGGCAUUGACGCUGAUGAGCGAAAGCUAAGGGGAGCAAACGGGG
rnacentral:rRNA from 1 species